CCUGGUUAAUCCUGGCAGUAGCAUAUGCUUCUAUCAAAGAUUAUCCAUGCUUGUCUAAGUACAGCAUGGCUGGGUAGAGUGAAACUGAAUGGCUCAUUAAAUCAAUUAUGGUUCCUUUGGUCGCUGGCUCCCCUCCUAUUUGGAUAACUUGUAAUUCUAGAGCUAAUACAUGCCGACAGGCGCUGACCCCCUUCGUGGGGGGGAUGCGUGCAUUUAUCAGAUCAAAACCAACCCAGUGAGCUCCUCAUCAGGCCCCGGGCUGGGGUGGUGGGCUGGUGGUGGUGUUGGUGACUCUAGGUAACCUUGGGCCAAUAGCAUGCCUCAUGUGGUGGUGAUGACACAUUUGAACAUCUGCCCUAUCAACUUUGGGUGGUAGUUGCUGUGCCUACCAUGGUGACCAUGGGUGAUGAGGAAUCAGGAUCCAAUUCUGGAGAGGGAGCUUGAGAAAAGAUACCACAUCCAAGGAAGGCAGCAGGUGUGCAAAUUACCCACUCCUGACAUGGGGGAGGUAGUGAGGAAAAAUAAUACAGCACUCUUUUGAGGCCCUGUAAUUGGAAUGAGUCCAUGUUAAAUCUUUUAAGGAGGAGGAUCCAUUGGAGGGCAAGUUUGGUGCCAGCAGCUGCAGUAAUUUCAGCUCCAAUAGUGUGUAUAUUAAAGUUGCUACAGUUAAAGAGCUUGUAGUUGGAUCUUGGGAGUGGGUGGGCAGUUGAUUGUGAGGUGAGCCACUGCCUGUCCUGCCCCUUGCCUCUCGGCACACCCUUGAUGCUCUUAGCUGAGUGUCCUGUGGGGCCUGAAGCAUUUAGUUUGAAAAACUGAGUGUUCAAAGCAGCCCUGAGCCGCCUGGAUACUGCAGCUAGGAGUAAUGGAAUAGGACUGCGGUUCUAUUUUGCUGGUUUUUGGAAUUGAGGCCAUGAUUAAGAGGGAUGGCUGGGGACAUUUGUACUGUGCUGCUAGAGGUGAAACUCUUGGACCGAUGUAGGAUGGACCAGAGUGAAAGCAUUGUGAAGAAUGUUUUCAUUAAUAAAGAACUAAAGUUGAAGAUGAUCAGAUAGCAUUGUAGAUCCAACCAUAAAUUAUGCUGACUGGUGAUGUGGCAGCAUUAUUCCCCUAAACUGCUGGGCAGCUUCUGGGAAACCAGUCUUUGGGUUCUGGGGGGAGUAUGGUUGCAAAGCUGGAACUUAAAGGAAUUGACAGGGCACCACCAGGAGUGGAGCCUGUGACUUAAUUUGACUCAACACAGGAAACCUCACCCGGCCCGGAUACGGACAAGAUUGACAGAUUGAUAUCUCCUUCUUGAUUCUGUGGGUAGUGGUGCACGGCCGUUCUUAGUUGGUGGAGUGAUUUGUCUGGUUAAUUCUCUUAACGAACAACUCUGACAUGCUAACUAGUUACCUGACCCCUGAGUGGUUGGUGUCCCCCCACCAGGAAAAGUGGUGUUCAGCCACCAGAGAUUGAGCAAUAAUAGGUCUGUGAUUCCAUUAGAUGUCUGGGGCUGCAUGUGCACUACAAUGACUGGCUUGGGGUGUGCCUACCCUAGGAUGGUGGGUGUGGGUAACCUGUUGAAUCCCAUUCGUGAUGGGGAUCAGGGAUUGCAAUUAUUCCCCAUGAAUGAGGAAUUCCCGGUUUAGUGUGGAUCAUAAGCUUGCCUCAAGUCUCUGCACUUUGUACACACCGCCCAUUGCUAUGACCCAUUGGAAGAUUUAGUGAGGCCCUUGGAUUGGCCCUGUGUGGGCCAGCCCCCAAAGCCCUGGUGGAGGGCUGAGAAGAUGACUGAACUUGACUAUCUAGAGGAAGUAAAAGUCGUAAAAAGGUUUCCCUAGAUGAACCUGCGAAAG
rnacentral:rRNA from 1 species